AGAGUUUGAUCCUGGCUCAGAUUGAACGCUGGCGGCAGGCCUCAUACAUGCAAGUCGAACGAGAAAGUAUCUUCGGAUACGAGUAAAGUGGCGGACGGGUGAGUAAUACAUAGGAAUCUACCCAAUGGAGGGGGAUAGCUCGAGGAAACUCGAAUUAAUACCGCAUAAUCUCCACGGAGUAAAGAGGGCUUCGGCUCUCGCCAUCGGAUGAGCCUAUGCAGGAUUAGCUUGUUGGUGAGGUAGAGGCUUACCAAGGCGACGAUCCUUAGCUGGUUUGAGAGGAUGACCAGCCACAUCGGGACUGAGACACGGCCCGGACUUCUACGGAAGGCAGCAGUAGGGAAUAUUGGACAAUGAGCGAAAGCUUGAUCCAGCCAUGCCGCGUGUGCGAUGACGGCCCUCGGGUUGUAAAGCACUUUAGGUAACGAGGAAAAGUUAGGUGUUAAUACCAUCUAACCUUGACGUUAAUUACAGAAUAAGCACCGGCUAAAUCCGUGCCAGCAGCCGCGGUAAUACGGAUGGUGCAAGCGUUAAUCGGAAUUACUGGGCGUAAAGCGCGCGUAGGUGGCAUAUUAAGUUAGAUGUGGAAUCCCGAGGCUUAACCUCGGAACUGCAUCUAAAACUAAUAAGCUAGAGUACUAGAGAGGAAAGUAGAAUUCUUAGUGUAGCGGUGGAAUGCGUAGAUAUUAAGAGGAAUACCAAUGGCGAAGGCAACUUUCUGGAUAGAUACUGACACUGAGGUGCGAAAGCGUGGGGAGCAAACAGGAUUAGAUACCCUGGUAGUCCACGCCGUAAACGAUGAUAACUAGCCGUUGGAUUUAUCCAGUGGCGCAGCUAACGCGUUAAGUUAUCCGCCUGGGGAGUACGGCCGCAAGGCUAAAACUCAAAUGAAUUGACGGGGACCCGCACAAGCGGUGGAGCAUGUGGUUUAAUUCGAUGCAACGCGAAAAACCUUACCUACACUUGACAUACUUCGAAUUUUCUAGAGAUAGAUUAGUGCCUUCGGGAACGGAGAUACAGGUGCUGCAUGGCUGUCGUCAGCUCGUGUCG
rnacentral:rRNA from 1 species